rnacentral:rRNA from 1 species
UGGCGGACGGGUGAGUAAUGUCUGGGAAACUGCCCGAUGGAGGGGGAUAACUACUGGAAACGGUAGCUAAUACCACAUAAUGUCUACGGACCAAAGCGGGGGACCUCCGGGCCUCGCGCCAUCAGAUGAACCCAUAUGGGAUUAGCUUGUAGGUAAGGUAACGGCUUACCUAGGCGACGAUCCCUAGCUGGUCUGAGAGGAUGAUCAGCCACACUGGGACUGAGACACGGCCCAG